rnacentral:rRNA from 1 species
GGUGAAUUUUCCGCAAUGGGCGCAAGCCUGACGGAGCAAUACCGCGUGAGGGAGGAAGGCUCUUGGGUCGUAAACCUCUUUUAUCAGGGAAGAACACAAUGACGGUACCUGAUGAAUCAGCAUCGGCUAACUCCGUGCCAGCAGCCGCGGUAAUACGGAGGAUGCAAGCGUUAUCCGGAAUUAUUGGGCGUAAAGCGUCCGCAGGUGGUUUUGAAAGUUUGCUGUCAAAGCGCGAGGCUCAACUUCGUACCGGCGGUGAAAACUUCAAGACUAGAGUUUGGUAGGGGUCACGGGAAUUCCCAGUGUAGCGGUGAAAUGCGUAGAUAUUGGGAAGAACACCAGCGGCGAAAGCGCGUGACUGGGCCUGAACUGACACUCAUGGACGAAAGCUAGGGGAGCGAAAGGGAUUAGAUACCCCUGUAGUCCUAGCCGUAAACGAUGACAACUAGGUGUUGCCCGUAUCGACCCGGGCAGUGCCGUAGCCAACGCGUUAAGUUGUC